rnacentral:rRNA from 1 species
CUGGAUGGUAGUGUAUUGGACUACCAUGGCAGUCACGGGUAACGGAGAAUUAGGGUUCGAUUCCGGAGAGGGAGCCUGAGAAACGGCUACCACAUCUACGGAAGGCAGCAGGCGCGUAAAUUACCCAAUCCUGAUUCAGGGAGGUAGUGACAAGAAAUAACAACUCGGGCAUUUUUAAUGCUUCGAAUUUGCAAUGGGAACAAUCUAAAUCACUUAUCGAGGAACAAUUGGAGGGCAAGUCUGGUGCCAGCAGCCGCGGUAAUUCCAGCUCCAAUAGCGUAUAUUAAAGUUGUUGCAGUUAAAAAGCUCGUAGUUGAAUUUCUGAUUAUGAAUGUACUGGGUAACCGGUCCAUUUAUAGUCAUCCACAUGAGAACCUAUCUCGGCCUUCACUGGUCGGUUGGGGGAUCAUGUACUUUACUUCGAAAAAAUCAGAGUGUUUCAGGCAGGCGUUUGCAUGAAUACACAAGCAUGGAAUAAUGGAAUAGGACUAGGGUCCAUUUUAUUGGUUAUUGGACCAUAGUAAUGAUUAAUAGGGACAGUUGGGGGCAUUAGUAUUUAAUUGUCAGAGGUGAAAUUCUUGGAUUUAUUAAAGACUAACUUAUGCGAAAGCAUUUGCCAAGGAUGUUUUCAUUAAUCAAGAACGAAAGUUAGGGGAUCAAAGACGAUCAGAUACCGUC